UACAGAGGGUGCAAGCGUUGUUCGGAAUUAUUGGGCGUAAAGGGCGCGUAGGCGGACAGUUAAGUCAGGGGGUGAAAUCCUGGAGCUCAACUCCAGAACUGCCUUUGAUACUGAAGAUCUUGAGUUCGGGAGAGGUGAGUGGAACUGCGAGUGUAGAGGUGAAAUUCGUAGAUAUUCGCAAGAACACCAGUGGCGAAGGCGGCUCACUGGCCCGAUACUGACGCUGAGGCACGAAAGCGUGGGAGCAAACAGGG
rnacentral:rRNA from 1 species